UGGCCUACGGGAGGCAGCAGUGGGGGAUAUUGCACAAUGGGGGAAACCCUGAUGCAGCGACGCCGCGUGGGCGAAGAAGUAUUUCGGUAUGUAAAGCCCUAUCAGCAGGGAAGAAGAAAUGACGGUACCUGAGUAAGAAGCACCGGCUAAAUACGUGCCAGCAGCCGCGGUAAUACGUAUGGUGCAAGCGUUAUCCGGAUUUACUGGGUGUAAAGGGAGCGCAGGCGGCACGGCAAGUCAGGCGUGAAAGCUAGGGGCUCAACCCCUAAACUGCGCUUGAAACUGUGGAGCUUGAGUGAAGUAGA
rnacentral:rRNA from 1 species